GCGUUUACGUGUUCUCCUCUAGGCUUUUCCCGCGGAGGGUCCUGCAGCCGCCGGGGUGCGCCGUUCCGUGGUCACCUGGGCCUGGUGAACUGGGAGCGAAGCGGGUGCACCCACAAGUUAAAUGAUUGGCGGGGAGCUCCGAGCCCUCGGGGGCUGGAGGGGAAGUGGCUGGGCGGAGCUGGCCUCGGUCCGCGGAGAGUGGGUGCGCGCUCUCCCCGCAUCCCUCUCCAGGGAGGCCCGGAGCCGGGUUUCCCAUGGUCCCGGAGAAAGGGAGCGAGGGCCGGGCUCCUGACCUGCAGGUCUCAUGGCGGGCGCUCCCUGCAGCCAUUCAUUGCCUGAAGAAGGUGCUCUGUGAAGGUGCAAGGUCACAAGGUGUAAUCGAGGCUUCUGGGCUCUUUCUGCCUCCUGCAGUAUUGUCUCACUUCUCAGCGGCCUUGAUUGGAUUUUAGGAAAGGUCCAGCUCACCAGGCGCUUGAACCUUGGGACCCCAAGAGCAGAUUCCAGCUAAUGGAAAAGUGGCUGCUACGCCCAGGUGGAAACAAAACCGUCCCAGUGAAGGAAAAAGCAGAAGCCUCCAAGGACAGAAAUCACAUCUGGAAGAACCUGUUUCUGAACUGAAAUCUCUCCCUAGGAUUUUAAGGCCGAGACAGAAUUCCUGAAAGGAGCAUAUUCAAGAGUUACUGGACCAGAAUUUUCCUCUCCAGGAGAUUGGUUUCAUUCAAGGACCUGACUGCGGACUUCACCCAGGAGGAGUGGCAGCACCUGAACCGUGCUCAGAGGCUACUGUAGAGGGAUGUGGUGCUGGAGAACUACAGCAGCCGCAUCUCAGUGGGGUAUCAACGUUAGCAAACCAGAUGUGAUCUUCAGACUGGAGCAAGGAGAAGAACCAUGGACAGUAGAGGAAUUCUCAAGUCAGAACUACUCAGAAGCUGAUGAUGCCUUAAAGGAGGACAAGGAAAUCCAAGGCAAACAUUUGAGGCAAAUUGUAUUCUUCUGCAAUAAAACACUGAUUACAGAGAGAGCUACUGUAUUUGGGAAAACAUUUAAUCUGGGCAUGAAUAUUGUUCCCUCAAGAAAAACACCCUACAGAUAUCCAUGUGGAAACAAUUUGAAAACUAAUUCAGAAGUAAUCGUUGCAAAGAAAAGCUACUUUAAAAAGGUUCCUGAUGAAUACAGUAGAUGUGGGAAAACGCAACUCGUUUCUAAGCAAGAGAAAAGUCGUUCUGGAAUAAAACAAUACAAAUAUAAUCCAGUUAGGAAAGCCAGAAGUCAAAAUGAAGAUUUUAUUCUGCACCAGAACAUUCAGGCUUUGAAGCAACCUUUUGGCUAUGACAAAUGUGGGAAAACCUCUUCAAGAGGGCAGUCCUCUUCACAUAGAGGAGGAUACAUUCUGAAAGGAAACCAAAUUAAUGUAAUGAAUGUAGGAAAGCCUUUUCUAAGAAGUCCACCCUCAUUGUACACCAGAGAAUUCAUACAAGGGAGAAACCCUAUGUUCGUAAUGACUGUAGGAAAACUUUCCGUGUAAAGACAAACCUUACUAGACACCAAAGAAUUCAUACUGGAGAGCGACCCUAUGAAUGCAGCAUAUGUGGAAAAAUCUUCACUGACAAAUUGGCCCUCAUCGUGCAUCAGAAAAUUCAGAGGGGAGAAAUCCUAUGAGUGUCAUGAAUGUGGGAAGACCUUUUUUUUGGAAGUCAGCCCUCACUGAACAUUUCAGGUUACACACGGGAGAAACCUUACGAAUGCAAAGAAUGUGGGAACGCCUUCAACAAGAAUCUUACCUCGCUGUUCAUCAGUGAACUCACAGAGGAGAGAAACCAAAUGAAUGUAAAGAAUGUGGGAAGGGGCUUCCCUGGUGGCGCAGUGGUUGGGAGUCUGCCUGCCAAUGCAGGGGACGCGGGUUUGAGCCCUGGUCUGGGGGGAUCCCACAUGCCGCGGAGCAACUGGGCCCGUGAGCCACAAUUGCUGAGCCUGCGCAUCUGGAGCCUGUGCUCCGCAACAAGAGAGGCCGCGAUGGUGAGAGGCCCGCGCACUGUGAUGAAGGGUGGCCCCCACUUGCCACAACUAGAGAAAGCCCUCGCACAGAAACGAAGACCC